UGCCAGACUCCUACGGGAGGCAGCAGUGAGGAAUAUUGGUCAAUGGCCGCAGGGCUGAACCAGCCAAGUCGCGUGAGGGAUGACGGUCCUAUGGAUUGUAAACCUCUUUUGUCAGGGAGCAAAGGGCGCCACGUGUGGCGCUUUGCGAGUACCUGAAGAAACAGCAUCGGCUAACUCCGUGCCAGCAGCCGCGGUAAUACGGAGGAUGCGAGCGUUAUCCGGAUUUAUUGGGUUUAAAGGGUGCGUAGGCGGGCCCUUAAGUCAGCGGUAAAAUUGCGGUGCUCAACUCCGUAGAGCCGUUGAAACUGGGGUUCUUGAGUGAGCGAGAAGUAUGCGGAAUGCGUGGUGUAGCGGUGAAAUGCAUAGAUAUCACGCAGAACCCCGAUUGCGAAGGCAGCAUACCGGCGCUCAACUGACGCUGAGGCACGAAAGUGCGGGUAUCGAACAGGAUUAGAUACCCCUGUAAC
rnacentral:rRNA from 1 species